AGUUUAAAAAGCUCCAAACAAAGGUAGCACGCUACUACAUGUGGAAUAACAUUCUCGUCCGAAGAUCUUAGACUGGACCACAUUUCCACUGCUUAGCGCCUCCCAACGACCUAAAGGUUCUAAGCUCAAUCCACGAAGGCAUUUGUGGAAAUCACUCCUGAAGCCGAUCCUUAGCACAGAAAGCUCUAAACAUAGGCUAUUACUAGCCUACUAGCCAUCAAUGCACUAAAGAGUUAGUACAAAAGUGUGACCACUGUGUCACGCCCAGGACCUGGGGUGGGUGGAAAAAAAUAACCCCGCACUCGGCGCGCGAGUAAAAGUAAAAAUAAAUAAAAGGAAAUUGACACGGGUUGGAAAAUGAACUCCUCUUGUUAAAAUAACUCCAAAACAUUACAGGGUGUAUAAAAGUAAUAAAUUAAAAUCCUUAAACUUCUCCUCAAUCAUAACCUCAGCUCUUCUAACACCUAUCUUGCCAAAUAACUCAUCUGUAAAAUAAUAGGUGAGGGGUGAGCAACAACCACUAUCACUCAGUGAGUAGAAUAAAUAAUAUGCCAGUCAAGCUUGCCAUUUUAAUCACACUAUAAAAUAGGAUAAUAAUAUCAAAGCUUUAGCCACAUAAUUCCAUAUCACAUCAUCCCUUUACGUGUCCAUUAUAUCCUUCAUAAAUUGUAACUCACCACGUGACUCCUAAUGGCCAUCUGCCCUAAUGUCCCCGAGUGUAGUUUACAUUUAUCCCUCGGAUUAAUGCAACACCAAAGUUCUCAUGCUCCAUGAACAUCUCAAGUAAUUUCUUAUACAAUAUAUAUCCCAUCAUAAAACAUUUACACAAAAUCCAACAUGCUUGACUUAAAAUAGAUAGAGAUUUGAAAUAUAGAAAACCCACAAUAGCUCAUGGUUUUCAUUUAUCAAAAAAUAAGAAUAUUUUAAACACAUUACAUAAACCACUCACCUUGAUAAUCCAAGCUUUGGCAAGACAACCCAACUAACAAUCUCCACACAACAAACCCUAAACCCUAUUUCUUUCUCUCUUUACCCUCACUCCCUUUCUCUACACUGAACCUUCGCUGCAUGCUCUGCAUGUUUC
rnacentral:lncRNA from 1 species